UGUGAAGCCAUCAGAGACAUCAGAUGUACACACAGCUUCCUUACACUUGGUCAGUUUUACCAUGUUUAUGAUCUGCUGCUGAGAAUUUGAAGUCACUACUUCAGUUCGUAGACUCCCUCUUUUUGGUGCUGGAUAUUUUUUUUUUUCUCUACUGUAAUUUGUUUUCAUGACACGUUGUUGUAAACGCAUGGGAAUGGAAGAGUUAGAGCCUAGUAAUAAACUUGACACCGAAGGAGUCUCUUGUGGGCAGUGUCAAAGUAGAGACAUCCAACAAAACAAAAAAAGAGGUCAAGAAGAAAACCCAAGAGGUGUAUUGAUUUCCUGGGUCACACAUUGCCACCAAGGAGGACCCAAAACGAGAGCUGUGGUUGCUGGGCACCUAAUAGUCCUAAUGAAGGGAUGAGCCCUCCCAGGUGCCAAGCAUUUCAAGCUCUUGCCUAGCACAAAUGCAAUCACUGAACCUAGCUGCAAAGCACCCAGACCCACACCUGAGGCUUGUCUCUACCUCAGGAGAUCUCCACAGAGCCAGGGCAGUCACAGCUGAGCCUGCCCACUGCCUGAUCUUGGAGAGAGCCCACCUCCCAGCUUGUCCUCCUGCGGACCGGCCUUUGAAAUCAGACUGGAAGACGCAGCUGCGUCCCUAAAAUGGCUGCGCUGUGGUAGACUGCAGUCAUGCUGCCUUCUCCCAGCUGGCAUUAAAGGAUGUGUCUUUUUGGCUACUGCUCUGCUGGAGCUGAAACUUUCCCAAAACUCACAGCUAAGCAGUUCAGUGUGUGUUGCAUGGGACAGCUACAGAAUUCCAAUUACUGCAAUGGCACUAGAAGCCAAAAUCCUGAAUCCCGAGUCUGUGACCAGCCACCAAACCAGUAUCCAAAGAACAAGAGUGGUACAAGCAGCAGUAGCAAAUGCCAUCUCCCAAUAAACGUGCCCAGAGGAAAAGGGGGAAGAAUACUCAAACACAGACACAGUGUUUGCCUGACUCACAGUUCAAGGAGAAGAAACUUGAUUUUCCCACUGGGACCUGAUCCCACGCAUGACUUCUGCAAGACCAAGCAUGGCCACCAACAGAUACGCUGUCAGAGCCAAACACAAGCCUUCAGGGGAACGUGA
rnacentral:lncRNA from 1 species